rnacentral:rRNA from 1 species
AUUAUCUAAAUUUAAAUAAUAUUACUUUUAACGAAGUCUUGUGAGCUAAAUAUAUAUUAAAUAUAGAAUAUUUGAAUUUAAUGUAGCAUAAUUAAAAAACAAUAAAUAUUUAGGGGUGAAAGGCUUUUCAAACUAGACGAUAUCUUGAUUUUUGGGAAAUAUAUAAAGUAUAUAAGACAAACUAAUAAUGUUAAGGUUUUUAGUUUCUCAUUAUUUAAAUAUAAAUAUUUUGUUGAUUAUAUAAUAAUUACAACACAUGUCAGUAUAAUAUUGCUUAUUAUAAUAAUAUGGAACAUACCUUAAAAUUACAUUUAAUAAUAGAUGUAAUAUAUAAUGAUAUUAUAAGUAGUUAUAUUAAAUUAUAUUUAGGAACUCGGCAAAUUUUUACUCAACUGUUUAUCAAAAACAUGCCCUAAGUAAUUUUUUAGGGUUACCCCUGCUCAAUGAAGUUUAAAUAGCCGCAGUACUGUGACUGUGCAAAGGUAGCAUAAUCAGUUGGCUUAUAAUUGAAGUCUAGUAUGAAAGGGUUUUUGGGUAAUAUCUGUCUUUAUUUAAUUUUUAUUAAUUUUUUUAGUAAGUGAAAAUACUUACAGUAUAGUUAAAAGACGAGAAGACCCUAGAAAUUUUAUAUAACCUUUACUAUAUCUAUUUUGUUGGGGCGACAAAGUAACAUAUAACUUACUUUAAUAAACAAGUAACUAUUUACGAGAGAGAUUAAAUUACUCUAGGGAUAACAGCAUUAUUUAUUAAUAAGUUUGUGACCUCGAUGUUGGACUAGGAAAAAAUAUAUUUAGAAGAUAUAUUUAUAGGCUCUGUUCGAGCCAUUAUCUCCUACAUGAUCUGAGUUCAGACCGG